GAUGAACGCUGGCGGCGUGCUUAACACAUGCAAGUCGAACGAAACACCUUAUUUGAUUUUCUUCGGAACUGAAGAUUUGGUGAUUGAGUGGCGGACGGGUGAGUAACGCGUGGGUAACCUGCCCUGUACAGGGGGAUAACAGUUAGAAAUGACUGCUAAUACCGCAUAAGACCACAGCACCGCAUGGUGCAGGGGUAAAAACUCCGGUGGUACAGGAUGGACCCGCGUCUGAUUAGCUUGUUGGCAGGGUAACGGCCUACCAAGGCGACGAUCAGUAGCCGGCUUGAGAGAGUGAACGGCCACAUUGGGACUGAGACACGGCCCAAACUCCUACGGGAGGCAGCAGUGGGGAAUAUUGCACAAUGGGGGAAACCCUGAUGCAGCGACGCCGCGUGAGUGAAGAAGGCCUCGGUUGUAA
rnacentral:rRNA from 1 species